rnacentral:rRNA from 1 species
CACGUAGGGUGCGAGCGUUUGUCCGGAAUUACUGGGCGUAAAGAGCUCGUAGGUGGUUUGUCGCGUUGUUCGUGAAAACUCACAACUCAAUUGUGGGCGUGCGGGCGAUACGGGCAGACUGGAGUACUGCAGGGGAGACUGGAAUUCCUGGUGUAGCAGUGAAAUGCGUAGAUAUCGUAAGGAAGACCAGUGGCGAAGGCGGGU